UUUGAUCAUGGCUCAGAUUGAACGCUGGCGGCAGGCCUAACACAUGCAAGUCGAACGGUAACAGGAAGAAGCUUGCUUCUUUGCUGACGAGUGGCGGACGGGUGAGUAAUGUCUGGGAAACUGCCUGAUGGAGGGGGAUAACUACUGGAAACGGUAGCUAAUACCGCAUAACGUCGCAAGACCAAAGAGGGGGACCUUCGGGCCUCUUG
rnacentral:rRNA from 1 species